rnacentral:rRNA from 1 species
AUUGAACGCUGGCGGCAGGCCUAACACAUGCAAGUCGAGCGGAGCGGCGGACGGGUGAGUAAUGCCUAGGAAUCUGCCUGGUAGUGGGGGAUAACGUCCGGAAACGGGCGCUAAUACCGCAUACUAGCAGAUGAGCCUAGGUCGGAUUAGCUAGUUGGUGGGGUAAAGGCCUACCAAGGCGACGAGCCGUAACUGGUCUGAGAGGAUGAUCAGUCACACUGGAACUGAGACACGGUCCAGACUCCUACGGGAGGCAGCAGUGGGGAAUAUUCGGCAAUUGGCGAAAGCCUGAUCCAGCCACGCCGCGUGUGUGAAGAAGGUCUUCGGAUUGUAAAGCACUUUUAGUUGGGAGGCGGUACCAACAGAAUAAGCACCGGCUAACUUCGUGCCAGCAGCCGCGGUAAUUC